ACCUAUUUCAGGGCCAGUUCUCUUCAACAGCUUCAUCAACAACUUGCACAUGGGACUCAAAGCUACAGUGAGUGCUUUUGCUGAAGACGCUGAAUUGGAAGGAGCUGCUGACUCCCUCAGAGAAGCAGAACACUGAGAACAUGGCCCUGGGAGAGAGAGGAACCAGCAGCAGCUCCCCCGAUGAGAAGCAGGAACAGAACUAUAAUCGUGUUAUUACAAUUGUCUUCCUGGCACUCUUCAUUGACUUGUUGGGAUUUGCUCUCAUCUUGCCACUCUUUCCUUCCAUCCUUGAUUACUACAGCCAGGCUGAGGAUGGACUCUAUCUGUCAUUGCAACGUGGGGUAGACUGGUUUGCAGUGAGGGCUGGGAUACCUCCAGAGAGGAAAUACAACAGUGUCUUGUUUGGAGGUCUGAUUGGCUCAAUCUUUUCCCUCCUGCAGUUUUUCUCCUCUCCCCUCACUGGUGCUGUGUCAGACCACUGGGGCAGAAGGCCAGUCAUCCUGAUGACAGUGAUGGGUUUGAUAGCAUCAUACUCACUCUGGGCUGCCUCUCGGACUUUUGGCGUUUUUCUUCUCUCCAGGAUCAUCGGCGGAAUAAGCAAAGGGAAUGUCAGCCUCUCCACAGCUAUAAUUGCUGACUUGCACUCUCCAAAAGCACGGAGCAAGGGCAUGGCCAUGAUUGGUGUUGCUUUCUCCCUGGGCUUCACCCUGGGCCCCAUGAUGGGUGCUUACCUCACCAUGCAGACAGAGAAAGGAGAAGUCUUCUACCUUCGUUCAGCAUUGUCAGCACUCGUGUUUUCUGUGGCUGAUUUAAUUUUCAUCUUCCUCCUUCUUCCAGAGACACUUCCCAAGGAAAAACGGGUCCCUUCUGUGACAUCUGGAUUUCAGGCAGCAGUUGACUUGCUCAGUCCUUUGGCUUUAUUUCAGUUCUCUGCAGUCACCCGAGGAAGGGAAUCCCCUUCAGAGCAGAAUCUUCGGAAUCUCAGAACAUUGGGCCUGGCCUACUUCCUGUACCUCUUCCUGUUUUCGGGCCUGGAGUACACACUGAGUUUUCUCACUCACCAGAGAUUCCACUUCAGCAGCAUGCAGCAGGGCAAGAUGUUUUUCUUUAUUGGAAUAACAAUGGCUGUGGUCCAGGGAGGCUAUGCUCGCCGAAUCAAGCCAGGAAAUGAAAUCAGAGCUGUAAAAAGGGCCAUUAUGUUGCUGAUUCCAGCGUUCUUGUUAAUUGGAUGGGCUGCAAAUGUGACCAUGCUGAGUGCUGGACUGUUGCUGUACUCCUUCGCUGCAGCCAUCGUUAUCCCGUGUUUGUCAGCAGUGGUGUCAGGCUAUGGUGAGUGUCCCUCCUGCUCUGACUGGCUGCCCUUGGCCACACCCCGACCUUUGUAUCGACUUGGCUCAAAUUAUACAGAACAUCAACGGGAACAGCUGUGGAUCCAUCUCGGCCCUUCUGCAGGGGAGCACAGGGCACCACCCCUGGCUCACAGCUGUCUCAAAAGUGAUCACUUCAGCACUAGCAGCAAUGAUCUGCUCAGACUCACCACCAGUAUCACACCUGAAUUUUGUGUUGUGUAACACAGCUCACUGCAGCAGCCUCAUUGCUGGUGGUGAUGAAGAAGAUGAGAAGUGGGCAAAGGCCACGAACAGCACUGAGGAGGAACGGUCUGGGCUCUCUGAACGAGACACCAGCCAUCCCUGCCAGCAGUGAAAUAAUCCCCUGCUGUUUCCUUAGAAAAGACCUUCUGAGGAACCUUCUGAAACCUUCUGGCACGGGUUGUUCUGUAACCUUGUAAAGCAGAUGUCACUGUGGUGUCAUCUGAGAACAAGAAGGCUUUGGCUCAGCUGGGGGCCAGGACUGCAGUGCUGGCUGAGGUGGAAAAGCAAGGUUUUGCUCAUUAAUGUCAUUUUUAUGUUGCUCUUAUUAACUUGCAUCUGCAGUUCCGUGUUUGUUGUACACCUGGGCCUUCUCAGAAAAUCUUGUGUACAAUGUGAAGCUUCUGCUUUGGAUAGGCUUGGGGGUUUUGGGAGGUGUGGAAUGUGCACUACAAAUUGUCCCGGUCAAGCACUCGUGCCAGGCCCAUGCAGUGAAGCACUUGUGAGGGCCUCAGUGGAGGGCAAGCGCAGCUUGGGGACUGACUGGGUGAGAAAUGAUGGGAGGGGAAGAUGCAAGUGGGAAACAGCCCCAAGGAACAGGGCUCCCAGAGCUCCAGCCGUGCCCAAACCCCCCAGUGUCGCUCUCUGCUUGCACAGGCACCGCCGGCCAGAAGGGACGAGUCAUGGGCAUCCUGAGGAGCCUGGGCGCGCUGGCCAGAGCCCUGGGACCCAUCCUGGCAGCUGCGGUUUACUGGCUGGCUGGGGCAGAGAUUUGUUUCACUAUCUGUGGAGCAUUCUUCCUU